rnacentral:misc_RNA from 1 species
CACAGUUAUCGUGGAAUAGCCAAGACGUUGUUUUCAUAAACGUAGACAUAUGUGAAUGCAAAUGUAAGACGGUAUCUGGCAACUGUGUGAUCAACGCGUAGAAGGGAGGUCGGCUGAGGCUCCCGUCUCAGAGUGCCGCGUGGAAGAGACAGAGAGUGGCUUUCGACGCAGACAUGAUGGUCCUCACGCAACUAAUUAGAGGCCGGACCCAUCCUGCAGGAUUUCAUAUCAACAUCCACAGGAGGCCUCCGCGGAUCCCCAAGAGGAGUAACAUGAUCAGGUCCUCCAGCACGCUAUGCACUGCGCUCGUCCCGUCAAGAACCUUCGAUCUCGUGUCAGAUCUUCGUCGAGGAAAUGAACUUCUCUCCUGCUACUCCCUCCGCCCAUGGAACGGCGCUGGGAGGAGUCACUUUGGCACGUCGUCGCCCAUGGGAGAAGAUCACUACGAUUCUUCUUUUAGCUUUUUCAUCCUCAACAGUCAGGAUUUCGAGGAAGUGAGAGCGUUCUUGGCACUGUAUUUCUUCCCCAAAGAACCGCUGACGAUAGGCGCUCGCUGUGAGGGCGAAGUCGACUUGAGUGAUCUUAUCUUGAAAUGCGUGUCGUCGGCGUGUCCGUUGGUGCUCGGGACAAGGCCACCGGGGAACUGGUGGGCGUCAGGCUUAGCAGCAUCUUAUCUUCGAAGCCGAAGACAGAACCCCCGCCAGAUUCCAUUCCGCCGGAAGUGGCGAAGGUGAUCAAUAUGCUGAACCACCUGUGGGAGGCCGUGGACGUCUUCGAGGACCCAGGUGUGGAGCGAAUCAUGAAGAGCGACAUCCUCACUGUGCACACCGGCUACAACGGACGAGGGCUGGCGAGGGCCAUGGUUGAGAGAAGUGAGCGCCUAGCGAAGGGAAGGCACUGCCACCUGCUGUACACGCAACCCACGAACGCCAUCUCCGCCAGAAUCUUCUCUCAGCGAGGCUACGACACGAGAUACACUAUCGACCUAGACACUCUGCUGGACGACCAGGGCAAGCGUGUAUUCGACACGUCGCUCAUGUUUGGCAACAAUGUUAUCAGAGUUAUGAGCAAACGCGUGGAAUCGGGGUAGUAUGAAGGGAUGUGGCUGGGGUCGGGGUAGGGGGGGGCGGUUCCCAUCCCUGUAGAUUAAUUUAUCUACAGAUAUCAUGCUUCAUAUCAAAGUGGGGUAUUUUUACGUCGGAUUACACGGAUUAAAAAUCUGACAGGGUAAUUUGAUCAAUUCCUUUCAAAAGCACACGACAGGCAUUAGAAUUAGAAUAACAAAAAAAAUUGGCUUUCAGGUCAAACACGAAUAGGCUCGGUACAAACUACGCAUUAUUCAUCUAUCUGUGAUUUAAAGAUAUAUGAUUCAUUCAGGGAGCAAAUACACGAAUACCAUGAGAAAAAAAUCAUGAUUAAGGAAGUAACAUUCUGCCCCCAUGGUGAUACGGCAUGUUUUUUGUGGUUGUUUGUGGGUUCUAUAAGGCCAUGGCUACGCAUUUCACUUUCAGGCAGCUUGCCCUUUGUACGAUGUCUGCAUUUUCUAUCUUCCUUACAAUUACGUGUUAUUGUAUAUCGUUGGGGUCAUUUUACCGAUUCAUGAAUUACGAAUUAAAUAUUUCAAAGCA